rnacentral:tRNA from 1 species
GCCUUCGUGGUGUAAUGGUAGCACACUCGGCGCGUAUUCGAGAGAUCCGGGUUCGAGUCCCGGAGAGGGCA